rnacentral:rRNA from 1 species
GACGAACGCUGGCGGCGUGCCUAAUACAUGCAAGUCGAGCGAAUCGAUGGGAGCUUGCUCCCUGAGAUUAGCGGCGGACGGGUGAGUAACACGUGGGUAACCUGCCUGUAAGACUGGGAUAACUUCGGGAAACCGGAGCUAAUACCGGAUACGUUCUUUUCUCGCAUGAGGAGAGAUGGAAAGAUGGUUUCGGCUAUCACUUACAGAUGGACCCGCGGCGCAUUAGCUAGUUGGUGAGGUAACGGCUCACCAAGGCGACGAUGCGUAGCCGACCUGAGAGGGUGAUCGGCCACACUGGGACUGAGACACGGCCCAGACUCCUACGGGAGGCAGCAGUAGGGAAUCUUCCGCAAUGGACGAAAGCCUGACGGAGCAACGCCGCGUGAGCGAAGAAGGCCUUCGGGUCGUAAAGCUCUGUUGUUAGAGAAGAACAAGUACAAGAGUAACUGCUUGUACCUUGACGGUACCUAACCAGAAAGCCACGGCUAACUACGUGCCAGCAGCCGCCGUAAGAC